rnacentral:lncRNA from 1 species
GUCAGCAAAGACGUCUAGUGGGGCCUUGGGUCCGGCAGUACCCACGUCACCUACAGCCUCUCAGUUGCCUUCUGUGGACCCGUGGACAUGUGGCCAGGAUGAACAGAGACACCUGCCUGGCAUUUCAUCUGGGAGCCAGGCGACUUCGCCAGGUGUCAUCCAACAGAGGGCUCCAUCUGCUGGGACUGUACUGUGGGGUCAGCUCCAGAUCUGUGACUGCUCUUGGCUGCUGACCCAAGAGGAGACGCUGUCGGAGGAGAGUAGCUUUUCCAUCUGGACACAAAACAAGGGCCCUUUGUAGGAUUUUCUUCAGUCUUCUAUUUUGCCAGACCUGUCACCUAACUGAGUUCAU